AAUCACAAUGUGUAAUUUCGCAAGCUUGUAUCAUGUCAAAAAUGUAACAAUGGUCGCAAAUGUGUAACUUGACAUUUGACUACAUUCAAUAAGAUUUGCAUGCAUCAUUUAUUAGAAUUAUUACAAGUCAAUUUACGACUAUAAAUAUUCGGAAGUGCAUCAAAAAUACACUUGCAGAUGUUAUCUGCUCGGGGGUUCAGUCACUUUACCAAGAGACUCGUAAACUUGUAGGUUUUGUACAUUUUGUAGAAAGAUAUUCGCAAUCAGCCAAAACCACAGCCGCCUAUUGCCUGGAUUGUUCUGUCAAUCACAUCUCAGGAAGUAGUUUGAAGUUAAGUAAUUCCUACAAAGUAACGUUAAUGUUACUUGGCCUGAAGUACUAGAAUAAAGGUGGAGGGAGUAAGAUCACUAGAAAGCAGAACUGCAAGACAACCAAAGGACCCUAGAGACCUCUGCAUGCUGUGACAUGGGCCUGGAUGGUGAAACAUCUGCUUCCAGCUGCCUGACUAUUGGGACCUUCAGUUGUACCUUACAUCACAGCAAGAGUCUCCUUAUCUCUGUCUCAUAGUCAUUUAACAUGUAUUAUGUAUCCACUCAUUCAUGAAAACUGCUACAGACACAAGAACUGCACCUGAGUGAUGAUAGCCAGCUAGCCGAGCCAUUGCGUGAGAGAUCAAAUAAAACUUUGUCACAUGCACCGAAUACAACAA